CGGACGGGUGAGUAACACGUGGGUAACCUGCCUGUAAGACUGGGAUAACUCCGGGAAACCGGGGCUAAUACCGGAUGCUUGAUUGAACCGCAUGGUUCAAUCAUAAAAGGUGGCUUUUAGCUACCACUUGCAGAUGGACCCGCGGCGCAUUAGCUAGUUGGUGAGGUAACGGCUCACCAAGGCGACGAUGCGUAGCCGACCUGAGAGGGUGAUCGGCCACACUGGGACUGAGACACGGCCCAGACUCCUACGGGAGGCAGCAGUAGGGAAUCUUCCGCAAUGGACGAAAGUCUGACGGAGCAACGCCGCGUGAGUGAUGAAGGUUUUCGGAUCGUAAAACUCUGUUGUUAGGGAAGAACAAGUACCGUUCGAAUAGGGCGGUACCUUGACGGUACCUAACCAGAAAGCCACGGCUAACUACGUGCCAGCAGCCGCGGUAAUACGUAGGUGGCAAGCGUUGUCCGGAAUUAUUGGGCGUAAAGCGCGCGCAGGCGGUUUCUUAAGUCUGAUGUGAAAGCCCCCGGCUCAACCGGGGAGGGUCAUUGGAAACUGGGGAACUUGAGUGCAGAAGAGGAGAGUGGAAUUCCACGUGUAGCGGUGAAAUG
rnacentral:rRNA from 1 species